UACGAAGGGGGCUAGCGUUGUUCGGAAUUACUGGGCGUAAAGCGCACGUAGGCGGAUAUUUAAGUCAGGGGUGAAAUCCCGGGGCUCAACCCCGGAACUGCCCUUGAAACUGCAGUGCUAGAAUCUUGGAGAGGCGAGUGGAAUUCCGAGUGUAGAGGUGAAAUUCGUAGAUAUUCGGAAGAACACCAGUGGCGAAGGCGACUCGCUGGACAAGUAUUGACGCUGAGGUGCGAAAGCGUGGGGAGCAAACAGG
rnacentral:rRNA from 1 species